UGAUUUGAGAGGUGACAUGGCAACCAUGAGUUUAAAACUUCUCAUUGAAGGAGGUGAAUUCCCUUUCAAAGUUAGUUGCAAAAAAUCUGACCUUCAAUAUCUGUGUAGCCAUAUUCAGAAGCAAUGUCAGCUGAUAAAUAAACUUGACCAGUUCUUUUAA